UUUUUUUUUUUUUUUUUUUUUUUUUUUUUUUNGCCACACCCGAGGCAUCUGGAGGUUGCCAGCCUAGGGGUCAAAUUGGAGCUACAGCUGCCGGCCUAGGCCACAACCACAGCAAUGCCAGAUCCAAGCUGCAUCUGCAACCCACACCACAGCUCACAGCAAUACCAGAUCCUUAACCCACUGACCGAGGCCAGGGCUUGAACCUGCAACAUCAUGGUUCCUAGUCAGAUUCAUUCCCACUUCACCACAAUGGGAAUGCCCUACAAUGCCCUUUAAACAAUCCUUUAUUGAAGGUUCAGUGGUUAAAUGACUAUGCUGGGUCCUUGGGGCAGGGUGACGUGUUGAAGAUGGGUUCUUUUUUUCACUACUACACUCAUUCUGCUCUGGGCAUAGAAGGUUUUGGCUGUUCCUCCAGCUCAUGAGGGCACUCCUGCCCUCGGACCUAUGGUCUGUACCUGGAGCACUCUGGCCCAGGUAGAUGACCUGCUGCUUCACCUUAUUCAAGUCUUUGCACAUGUGUCACCUUCUAAAUGAGAUGAACUACCUCCCUGAACCACCCCUUUUGAGGCUUCAAUCCUCCCUCACAUACCCUGGUGUUCCUUGUUGCCCCUGCUGUGCUUUAUUUUUCUUCAUACAACUUACUCCCGAUAUUUUAAUUAAUUAGCUUAUUGAAUGGACACCCUCACCCCAUCAACUCUAUUACAGCAGAUAUUUUUAUGUGUUUUGUCUACUGAUAUAUGUGCAAAUCAAGGCUGUAAAUGUUCAGUGAAUAUUGGUGAAUGAAUAAAUGAAUGAUUACACGAAUGAAUGAAGGUGAGAAUGGGGGAAAUCACUGUAGCAUGAAGCUUGAGCUAAUAGGAGCCGGGAAGAAGAUAAGUAAUAAGUUAUGGGGCUACAGCAGAAAAAGUGAUCCUAACCCAGCAGCAAAUUUUUGGGGAGGCAUGACAGGGAGUGAAACUUCUGAGUUGGUCCACAUAAGAGGAAGCAUGAGAAAAGAGUAAAAUUUUACAUGUGUAGAAGCAAGGGAUUGAGUAAAAGCACAGAUGAACAGUUAGCUGGACAUCUGGAGUUUUGAUGUAUCUUAAGAAUCAGGUGUAUGGAAUUAUGUAGUAAGAAGAGCUAAAAAGCUUCAUGCAUCAGCCAGAUUGUUCUUGGCUGUGAGGACUAAAACCAUGAAUGAAAUGAUAUCCUUAGAACACUGGCAUAAUCAGUUAGACAUAUACUCCCUCUCACAGCUGUACCCCCCUCGCAGGGCUGCCUCAGACUGAGACGAGUUGGCAGCUCAGUGAUACCAUCCAGGACCCACGUUCUUUCCAUCUCUCCACACCCUUCAAACUUUGCAGAAGUUUCCUCCUCAGGUUGAUUCAAAAAUGACUGCUGCAAUUUUAGGCCUCACAUUUUCACUAUUAACAGAGGGAGAAGGUAGACUCUUUUCUCUUCCUGUGGGUUUAUCUUAGAAAUGAUAAGCCUUUAUCAGAGGACACUUGGCACACUUUCUUUCACAUGUCAUAGACCAGAGUUGCACCACAAGCCCAUUUCUGAGUAGCUUCUUCAUUUGGAACCUCUCCCACAAACACACCAAAAAAACACAUGUACAUGUGGAAGGUUUCACACAGAUCAUCUACUGAAUGCUGGCAGAAGAACUUAAACCUCCAAAAAGGGCAAGAAAUCCUCCACCUAACUGGGUAGAACAAAAGGAAAACACACAAGCUAACAAAAUAUAUGAUGUCAGAUUAGAAAUUCUAUAAACACAAUCAAAGUAGUGUAAGAGACAGGAGCUUUAUCCACUCUCUUGAGAUAAAACAUGAUGGACGAUAAUAUGACAAAAAGAAAAAAAUAUAUAUAUAUAUUCAUAUAUAUGUGUGAAUGACUGGGUCACUGUGCCAUACAGCAGAAAUUGACACGACGUGGUAAAUCAAAACUACACUUUAAUGAAAAAUAAAGGGGAAGAGGUUUGGGUUGUGUGGGCAGAGAAAGAGUCUCUGCGAAAAUGACAUUUAAGCAGAGACUUGAGUGAAUUGAAGGAAGGAGCCCUGUGAAGAUCUGAAAAAAGCUCUUUCUAUACAGAGAACAGCCAGUCCAGAGCCCUGAACCAGCAGUGAGUUUGGUAAUGCUCAAGAAACACCGUGGAAGGCGAAGUAGCUAGAACAGAAUAAGACAAGUAGGAUAUGUAAGGAGAUGAGGUGAGAGAAUUUGCAAAGGGGGCAGAUCAUGAUGGGUCCUCUAGGCCUUAGUAAGGAUGCGGGGUUGUAUCCUAAGGCGGAUAGGAAGGCAUUGAAUGAUUUUGAAGAGAAGAGUGGUGUGAUCCAAUUUACAUUUUGAAAGGGAUCUCUCUGUCUACAGAGAAAUGAUUGUGGGGAAAAGUGCAGAAGAUGAGAUAGGCGACC
rnacentral:lncRNA from 1 species